rnacentral:rRNA from 1 species
UACGUAGGGUGCGAGCGUUAAUCGGAAUUACUGGGCGUAAAGCGUGCGCAGGCGGUUCGUUAAGUCAGAUGUGAAAGCCCCGGGCUCAACCUGGGAACUGCAUUUGAAACUGGCGGGCUUGAGUGUGGCAGAGGGGGGUGGAAUUCCGCGUGUAGCAGUGAAAUGCGUAGAUAUUGGGAAGAACACCGGUGGCGAAGGCGGCGACCUGGUCCUUUACUGACGCUGAGGCGCGAAAGCGUGGGGAGCAAACAGG